rnacentral:misc_RNA from 1 species
GAUGAAGAACGUAGCGAAAUGCGAUAAGUAAUGUGAAUUGCAGAAUUCAGUGAAUCAUCGAAUCUUUGAACGCACAUUGCGCCCGCCAGCAUUCUGGCGGGCAUGCCUGUUCGAGCGUCAUUUCAACCCUCGCAGCCCAUCUGGGCAGCGGUGUUGGGGACCGGCACCACCGGCGAAGCCCUUAGGGGCCCAGCCGGCGCCGCCCCCGAAAUACAGUGGCGGUCUCGCUGCAGCCUCCCUUGCGUGGUAGCACACCUCGCACCGGAGCGCAGCGCGGCCACGCCGUAAAACCCCCGACUUUCUGAGUUUGACCUCGAAUCAGGUAGGAAUACCCGCUGAACUUAAGCAUAUCAAUAAGCGGAGGA